GUGGGGAAUAUUGGACAAUGGGCGAAAGCCUGAUCCAGCCAUGCCGCGUGUGUGAAGAAGGUCUUCGGAUUGUAAAGCACUUUAAGUUGGGAGGAAGGGCAGUAAGUUAAUACCUUGCUGUUUUGACGUUACCGACAGAAUAAGCACCGGCUAACUUCGUGCCAGCAGCCGCGGUAAUACGAAGGGUGCAAGCGUUAAUCGGAAUUACUGGGCGUAAAGCGCGCGUAGGUGGUUUUGUAAGUUGGAGGUGAAAUCCCCGGGCUCAACCUGGGAACUGGCUCCAAAACUGCAUGACUAGAGUACGGUAGAGGGUAGUGGAAUUUCCUGUGUAGCGGUGAAAUGCGUAGAUAUAGGAAGGAACACCAGUGGCGAAGGCGACUACCUGGACUGAUACUGACACUGAGGUGCGAAAGCGUGGGGAGCAAACAGGAUUAGAUACCCGAGUAGUCC
rnacentral:rRNA from 1 species